UGCAUGUUCUCCCCGUGAAUGCGUGGGUUCCCUCCGGGUACUCCGGCUUCCUCCCACUUCCAAAGACAUGCACCUGGGGAUAGGUUGAUUGGCAACACUAAAUUGGCCCUAGUGUGUGAAUGUGUGUGUGAAUGUUGUCUGUCUAUCUGUGUUGGCCCUGCGAUGAGGUGGCGACUUGUCCAGGGUGUACCCUGCCUUCCGCCCGAUUGUAGCUGAGAUAGGGGCCAGCGCCCCCCGCGACCCCAAAAGGGAAUAAGCGGUAGAAAAUGGAUGGAUGGAUGGAUGGAUGUACGGAAUAUGUACUGAACUGUGCAAUCUACUAAUAAAAGUAUCAAUCAGGUUGCUAGUUAAAACCCUGGCUGAGUCAUACCAAAGACAUAAAAACGGACCCAUUACAUCCCACCACUCAGCAUCAAGGGUUGGAAUUAGGCGUUAAAUCAUCAAAAAUGAUUCCUGGGCACGGCCAACGCUGCUGCCCACUGCUCCCCUCACCUCCCAGGGGGUGAUCAAGGGUGAUGGGUCCAAAUGCAGAGAAUAAUUUUGCCACACAUUCUUACUUUAACUUUCUGUUAAAAGUUUGUGUUAAUAAAUAUAUGCACUGGGAUAUAUUUCUAAUGAGCAUCGGCGAGGCUUAUUUGUUUCGGUAGCCAAUGACUGCAGUUAAUAGUCUGACGCCGCACACCAAUCAAAGCUUUGAAAACGAAUAAAAAGGCGUGUGAUUGGUUGUUUUUGCGAGGCGCCAAAAUAAACCGGAAGUUAUGGCCUGGCCUGCGGCAUUUUCGGGUUCCUUUUUUUUCUUAAUUUGACAAAUUAAUAAAAAAAAAAAAUAAUUUUGUAUUGUUGAAAAGAUUUAAGCACGACCUGUUCACACACGAGCAUAAAAAAAAAAACACUUGUUAUUUUUUCGUUUUUUUUUUGUCAGCAAAUGACUGCAAUUAACAUAGCAAUGCGAAACACCAAUCAGAGCUUUGAAGAUAAAAAAGAAGGCGUGUGAUUGGUUGUUCGUGUGAAGCGCCAACAUAAACAGGAAGUGACGGCCUGGACGGUGGUAUCCGGGUUCACUUUUCUUUUUUAAAAUGGACGAAUAGAUGAAAAAGAGCACUUUCCAUCGAGUAUUAUUGAACAACUUUUAAGGACAACACUUAAUGUCUGAGGGGUGGCCUCAGCCACAUGAUGAUAUCAUUGUUUUGGCUCGCUGGCCGCCAAGAACUUCAGGGACCUCGGCAUGGAUGGGAUGACAGCACGCAGACGAGACAGAGAUUUCAAGGAUCUCAACAACAAGGCAACAUCACAUUCCGUCACGUACUAUGCGUCCUGGACCUGCUUUGCAUAAUAUAUAUGACCACUCCUUUUAGAGGCAGCCUCAGUGGUGUUGACUAUGGAACUCUGAAUAAAAAGAGGAAUGCGGGAACUGGACCUUAGAGUGUAGGGCGAGACUGUGACUAAGUGUGCAGUGCCCGCGUUCUCCUCAUGAGCCAUAUUUAA